GCUCUAAUGAGGAAGUGUCUGUCUGGGCAUUUAAUGAGCUGAGCGUGUCAGCUGAUGCUGUCAUCUUAUCACUAGCUUAACUUUAACAAACUCGCCUUUAAUCCAGUGCUGUUGGUCUCACUGCGGAAGCCACUCCACUUGCUGUGAGAGAAUUGAUGUGAGAGAAUAUGAUCUUUGGCCCUAUGCAUAGCAAGCCCCUGUCUGGUCAAUCUGAUGCUUCUAAUUGAGAGGUAUUAUCCCAC